rnacentral:rRNA from 1 species
AUACGGAGGGAGCAAGCGUUAUUCGGAAUCACUGGGCGUAAAGGACGCGUAGGCGGGUUUGUAAGUCAGGUGUGAAAUCCUACAGCUCAACUGUAGAACUGCACUUGAAACUACAGACCUAGAGUAUGGAAGGGGCAGAUGGAAUUAGUGGUGUAGGGGUAAAAUCCGUAGAUAUCACUAGGAAUACCGAAAGCGAAGGCGAUCUGCUGGGACAUUACUGACGCUGAGGCGUGAAAGCGUGGGGAGCAAACAGGAUUAGAUACCCCAGUAGCCC